GGGCGCUUAGCUCAGUUGGCUAGAGCAUCUCGUUUACACCGAGGAGGCCAGGGGUUCGAGUCCCUUAGCGCCCACAA
rnacentral:tRNA from 1 species